GAAGGUCUUCGGAUUGUAAACUCCUGUUGUUGAGGAAGAUAAUGACGGUACUCAACAAGGAAGUGACGGCUAACUACGUGCCAGCAGCCGCGGUAAAACGUAGGUCACAAGCGUUGUCCGGAAUUACUGGGUGUAAAGGGAGCGCAGGCGGGAAGACAAGUUGGAAGUGAAAUCUAUGGGCUCAACCCAUAAACUGCUUUCAAAACUGUUUUUCUUGAGUAGUGCAGAGGUAGGCGGAAUUCCCGGUGUAGCGGUGGAAUGCGUAGAUAUCGGGAGGAACACCAGUGGCGAAGGCGGCCUACUGGGCACCAACUGACGCUGAGGCUCGAAAGUGUGGGUAGCAAACAGGAUUAGAUACCCUGGUAGUCCACACCGUAAACGAUGAUUACUAGGUGUUGGAGGAUUGACCCCUUCAGUGCCGCAGUUAACACAAUAAGUAAUCCACCUGGGGAGUACGACCGCAAGGUUGAAACUC
rnacentral:rRNA from 1 species